rnacentral:sRNA from 1 species
ACAAAACAAAUAUGACAUGACAAC